rnacentral:rRNA from 1 species
CAGCAGCCACGGUAAUACGGAGGGUGCGAGCGUUAAUCGGAAUAGCUGGGCGUAAAGGGCACGCAGGCGGUGACUUAAAUGAGGUGUGAAAGCCCCGGGCUUAACCUGGGAAUUACAUUUCAUACUGGGUCGCUAGAGUACUUUAGGGAGGGGUAGAAUUCCACGUGUAGCGGUGAAAUGCGUGGAGAUGUGGAGGAAUACCGAAGGCGAAGGCAGCCCCUUGGGAAUGUACUGACGCUCAUGUGCGAAAGCGUGGGGAGCAAACAGGAUUAGAUACCCGUGUAGUCCCUGUCUCUUAUAC